UACGUAGGGUGCGAGCGUUGUCCGGAAUUACUGGGCGUAAAGAGCUCGUAGGUGGUUUGUCGCGUUGUUCGUGAAAACUCACAGCUCAACUGUGGGUGUGCGGGCGAUACGGGCAGACUGGAGUACUGCAGGGGAGACUGGAAUUCCUGGUGUAGCGGUGGGAUGCGCAGAUAUCAGGAGGAACACCGGUGGCGAAGGCGGGUCUCUGGGCAGUAACUGACGCUGGAGGAGCGAAA
rnacentral:rRNA from 1 species